CAAUAGCGUAUAUUAAAGUUGUUGCAGUUAAAAAGCUCGUAGUUGGAUUUCUGCUGAGGACGAUCGGUCCGCCCACUGGGUGAGUAUCUGGCUCGGCCUUGGCAUCUUCUUGGAGAACGUUGCUGCACUUGACUGUGUGGCGCGGUAUCCAGGACUUUUACUUUGAGGAAAUUAGAGUGUUUCAAGCAGGCGCACGCCUUGAAUACAUUAGCAUGGAAUAAUGAGAUAGGACCUUGGUUCUAUUUUGUUGGUUUCUAGAGCUGAGGUAAUGAUUAAUAGGGAUAGUUGGGGGCAUUCGUAUUUAACUGUCAGAGGUGAAAUUCUUGGAUUUGUUAAAGACGGACUACCGCGAAAGCAUUUGCCAAGGAUGUUUUCAUUGA
rnacentral:rRNA from 1 species